rnacentral:rRNA from 1 species
AACGCUGGCGGCGUGGAUUAGGCAUGCAAGUCGAACGGUAUCAUCCUUUCGGGGGUGAGAGAGUGGCGAACUGGUGAGUAACACGUAGGUUAUCUACCCUCAAGACGGGGACAACCCAGGGAAACUUGGGCUAAUACCGGAUGUGAGCAACUUUUAGUGUUUGAAAGGUGGCGUAAGCUGUCGCUUGGGGAUGAGCCUGCGUCCUAUUAGUUAGUUGGUGAGGUAACGGCUCACCUAGGCAAUGAUAGGUAGGCGGCCUUAACGGGUGGUCGCCCACACUGGGAUUGAGAUACGGCCCAGACUCCUACGGGAGGCAGCAGUCGAGAAUAGUCUACAAUGGUCGGAAGACUGAUAGUGCGACGCCGCGUGAACGAUGAAUCCCUUCGGGGUGUAAAGUUCUUUUAUAUGUGAGCAGUGCUUCUUAUAUUAACAGUAUGGGGAGAGAGAUAUUAGCAUAUGAAUAAGCAACGGCUAACUCCGUG